rnacentral:lncRNA from 1 species
AGCUGCACUUCUCUGAGCCUUAGCACGUCUGUCUCUGCUGUGCCCCCCCCCAUCUCCCCGCUCCCAGGGGGAAUAAUCCCCCCCCGUUCUCUAGCCCGGAGGGACUCUCAGCCAGCGUCACACAGGAGGGUUAUUGAGCGUCUGACCCCAGCACAGGAAACUCUCCGGCCUCAGGCCUGGCCCCCCCCCUCAGCCCAGCACAUCCCAGUCUCCCCUGCAUCCAGGGGGGCUCUGCCUGCUCCCCCUCUCCAGCCCCCCUGCUCCCCAGCUGGGCAUCUGAUACCCCCCGGGCCCCAAGCCAGGGAAACCGGCUGGUCCGGUCACCGGGCUCCUCUUCCCGCAGCCCAUUGUCCCCCCACUGGCCAGAGCCGGCUGCGACUCCGGGUCACCAGUCGCUGGGGUCUCCGUUCUCCAGGCCGUCGGCCGGGGUCCCUGUCACGGAGUCCCCGGGCGAUGCUCUGGAACUGCUCCCCACAAAGCCAGGCAGGACUCUGGGGAGCCUCCUCUCCCUUGGAGCAGACUGUCUCCAGGGCACGAAGCUCACACGGCUUCACCUCCUGGGAGCCUUCCGCCCCGGCGGGGUCCUGGGGGAGCCAGAGGGUCCUGCACCCCCACUCCGCAGUCAGACGUGACUCUCAGCCAGCCACUGCGUCUUUCCUUGCCGUGACGGGUUUGUGCCUGAGCCGCUGUGCCAGUGUUUUUACACCGUGUCCAUGCGGCUGUUUCACUUGUGUGCCCGUGGGAGGCAGCUGAGGUCACUCAAUCGAACUCCAAACAGCGCCGUUCCCUUAAAGUGGCCACAAUGAUAACGUAAAUCUUACCCAAAAUAGACGCUACAGCCAAUUCUAAGCUAACAUUGAUUAGAAAAGAAAAGCGAGAGAGAGUUGGUUCGAAGAUCAAUGUACAGACAGACUUGAGUUCAAUUCCUGAGGUUCAGACACAGCAGAGAUGAGCGUGUAGAAACAGUCCAGAGGUUACAGGCCAAUGUCCGAGCAGAUCUGACAUGAAGCAGGAUCGUCUUAGCUACAGGUUACUUCCUUCACGUUAAUAUUCCUUUUUUGAUCUUUAGCUCUGUUCGGUCACAGAUCUUCCUAGCCAGUCGCUACAGU